UACGGAGGAUGCGAGCGUUAUCCGGAUUUAUUGGGUUUAAAGGGUGCGUAGGCGGUGAUGCAAGUCAGAAGUGAAAGCCCGGGGCUCAACUCCGGGACUGCUUUUGAAACUGUGUGACUGGAGUGCAGGAGAGGUAAGCGGAAUUCCUGGUGUAGCGGUGAAAUGCAUAGAUAUCGCGCAGAACUCCGAUUGCGAAGGCAGCAUGCCGGCUCCACACUGACGCUGAGGCACGAAAGCGUGGGUAUCGAACAGG
rnacentral:rRNA from 1 species